rnacentral:rRNA from 1 species
ACCCAGACUCCUACGGGAGGCAGCAGUGAGGAAUAUUGGUCAAUGGGCGAGAGCCUGAACCAGCCAAGUCGCGUGAGGGAAGACGGUCCUAUGGAUUGUAAACCUCUUUUGCCGGGGAGCAAAAAGCGGUACGUGUACCGCAUCGAGAGUACCCGGAGAAAAAGCAUCGGCUAACUCCGUGCCAGCAGCCGCGGUAAUACGGAGGAUGCGAGCGUUAUCCGGAUUUAUUGGGUUUAAAGGGUGCGCAGGCGGCGAGUUAAGUCAGCGGUAAAAUUUCGGGGCUCAACCCCGACAAGCCGUUGAAACUGGCGGCCUCGAGUGGGCGAGAAGUAUGCGGAAUGCGUGGUGUAGCGGUGAAAUGCAUAGAUAUCACGCAGAACUCCGAUUGCGAAGGCAGCAUACCGGCGCCCUACUGACGCUGAGGCACGAAAGCGUGGGUAUCGAACAGGAUUAGAUACCCGCGUAU